GACGAACGCUGGCGGCGUGCUUAACACAUGCAAGUCGAACGAAGAGCGAUGGAAGCUUGCUUCUAUCAAUCUUAGUGGCGAACGGGUGAGUAACGCGUAAUCAACCUGCCCUUCAGAGGGGGACAACAGUUGGAAACGACUGCUAAUACCGCAUACGGUCUAAUCUCGGCAUCGAGGAUAGAUGAAAGGUGGCCUCUACAUGUAAGCUAUCACUGAAGGAGGGGAUUGCGUCUGAUUAGCUAGUUGGAGGGGUAACGGCCCACCAAGGCGAUGAUCAGUAGCCGGUCUGAGAGGAUGAACGGCCACAUUGGGACUGAGACACGGCCCAGACUCCUACGGGAGGCAGCAGUGGGGAAUCUUCCGCAAUGGACGAAAGUCUGACGGAGCAACGCCGCGUGAGUGAUGACGGCCUUCGGGUUGUAAAGCUCUGUUAAUCGGGACGAAAGGCCUUCUUGCGAAUAGUGAGAAGGAUUGACGGUACCGGAAUAGAAAGCCACGGCUAACUACGUG
rnacentral:rRNA from 1 species